AUUGAACGCUGGCGGGAGGCCUUACACAUGCAAGUCGAACGGAGCGGCGGACGGGUGAGUAAUGCCUCGGAAUCUGCCUGGUAGCGGGGGAUAACGUCCGGAAAGGGGAGCUAAUACCGCAUACUAUUGGAUGAGCCUAGGUCGGAUUAGCUAGUUGGUGGGGUAAAGGCCUACCAAGGCGACGAUCCGUAGCUGGUUUGAGAGGAGGAACAGCCACACUGGAACUGAGAAACGGCCCAGACUCCUACGGGAGGCAGCAGUGGGGAAUUGUGGACAAUGGGGGAAACCCUGAUCCAGCCAUGCCGCGUGUGUGAAGAAGGUCUUCGGGUUGUAAAGCACUUUAAGUAGGGAAGCGGUACCUGCAGAAUAAGCACCGGCUAACUUCGUGCCAGCAGCCGCGGUAAUUC
rnacentral:rRNA from 1 species